rnacentral:misc_RNA from 1 species
AGUUAAAUAGUACGUGAAAUUGUUGAAAGGGAAACGAUUGAAGUCAGUCAUGCUAGUGAAAAAUCAGUUUGACGGGUUUUGAGUUCAGGAGUAGAGGCAGGGUCAAACCGUUUCUCUUUUGGACUUGGGAUUUGUUAGAUGUACUUUUUCUUUGGCAGGUCAGCGUCGAUUUCGGAGGUUGUAAAAUACUUGGGGGAAAGUAACUCUGCUUCGGGAGAGUAUUAUAGACCCUGGGGGAUGCAGCCUGCGGGAUCGAGGAUUGCAGCAAAUGCCUUUGGCUUGUCGCCUGAUCUCUGGAUGUUACCUCGCUUGUGACAACAUUCUUGCCACCCGUGGGUACUAAUGCCCAUUAGGUUAGAGCGAUCAAAAAUUUUGCUAAGGAUGCUGACGUAAUGGCUUUAAA